rnacentral:rRNA from 1 species
UGUGAACUCGAAGAGUAGGGCGGGACACGUGGUAUCCUGUCUGAAUAUGGGGGACCAUCCUCCAAGGCUAAAUACUCCUGACUGACCGAUAGUGAACCAGUACCGUGAGGGAAAGGCGAAAAGAACCCCGGCGAGGGGAGUGAAAAGAACCUGAAACCGUGUACGUACAAGCAGUGGGAGCACCUUCGGGUGUGACUGCGUACCUUUUGUAUAAUGGGUCAGCGACUUAUAUUCUGUAGCAAGGUUAACCGUAUAGGGGAGCCGCAGGGAAACCGAGUCU